GAAAAGGGGAAAUCUGGUUGCAAUAUAUUCAAGUAUAAGCUGCUUAGGUUGCCUGGGCAGCCAAGUGCUUUUGCUGUUUGGAAAUCAAUUCAGCAGUGGCGGGGAGGGGGUUCUUCAAGGGUUGGUCUAAUUCUGCCAGACCUCACUUCGGGGGCUGAAAGUAUCCCUGUUUCACUCGUUAAUGAUGUUGAUGAAGAGAAGGGACCUGCCUACUUCACAUAUGUUGCUACUGUCAAGUAUAUUAAACCAUUUAAAUUGAUGGAGCCUUCUUAUGGAUGCAACUGUCGUAGUGCGUGUGCCCCAGGUGAUCUGAACUGCUCUUG
rnacentral:misc_RNA from 1 species